rnacentral:rRNA from 1 species
AUGACAAUCCUAAGUUGGAACUGUCGAGGCCUCGUGCAACCUCGAACAGCUCAGGAACUCGUGUCUCUCGUGCACACGUACAAGCCCAAGCUCGUAUUCCUCUCCGAAACCCAGCAAAAGAAUAAAUAUGUCAGUAGUCUGAAGUGGAGGCUAGGCCUUCGUCACUGUAUCACGCAACCCGGCACUGGUAAAGGUGCCGGCAUUGCCCUCUUUUAUGAUGAGAAUAUUGAAAUAAAGAAGAUUGCCACGGGGGGCGAGGUACAUCGAUGUGUUAGUCCGUAUGAACCCUCAUGGCCUCCAAUGGCGGGCUACUUUUGUCUAUGGUGA